rnacentral:tRNA from 1 species
UGAGGGGUAGAGCAGUGGUAGCUUUCUGGGCUCAUAACCCAGCGGUCGGUGGUUCGAAUCCAUCUCCCUCCA